ACCAGCAGCCAUAUCACCCUGCAGCCCAAGACUGGUUGCCCACUGAAGCUAAGCAGGGUUGAGCCUGGACAGUACCUGGAUGGGAGACCUCCUGGGAAAACUAGGUUGCUGCUGGAA
rnacentral:rRNA from 1 species